GGCGCAGCUUACACAUGCAAGUCGAACGAACUCUUCGGAGUUAGUGGCAGACGGGUGAGUAACGCGUGGGAAUAUACCUUUCGGUACGGAACAACAGUUGGAAACGACUGCUAAUACCGUAUGCGCCCUAUGGGGGAAAGAUUUAUCGCCGAAGGAUUAGCCCGCGUUGGAUUAGCUAGUUGGUGGGGUAAAGGCCUACCAAGGCGACGAUCCAUAGCUGGUCUGAGAGGAUGAUCAGCCACACUGGGACUGAGACACGGCCCAGACUCCUACGGGAGGCAGCAGUGGGGAAUAUUGGACAAUGGGGGCAACCCUGAUCCAGCCAUGCCGCGUGAGUGAUGAAGGCCCUAGGGUUGUAAAGCUCUUUCAGCGAGGAGGAUAAUGACGUUACUCGCAGAAGAAGCCCCGGCUAACUUCGUGCCAGCAGCCGCGGUAAUACGAAGGGGGCUAGCGUUGUUCGGAAUCACUGGGCGUAAAGCGCACGUAGGCGGAUUGGUCAGUUAGGGGUGAAAUCCCAGAGCUCAACUCUGGAACUGCCUUUAAUACUGCCAGUCUUGAGUCCGAGAGAGGUGAGUGGAACUCCGAGUGUAGAGGUG
rnacentral:rRNA from 1 species